rnacentral:rRNA from 1 species
UAUUUAUUUUAUUAUGUUUAUUUUUUGUUUAUUUAAUUAUUUAAUAAAAAUAAUUUUGUUGAAUUUUGUCUUAGUAUAUUUUGUGGAAUUGAUUUUUUAGAUUAUAGCUUAUUGGUAAUGUAAUUGUUUUAUGAAAUAUUAUUUUAAAUUUUUAAAAGUAGAUUUUAUUUAUUGUACCUUUUGUAUCAGGGUUUAUCAAAAUUUUAGUAUUUAUUUUACUUGUCUCGAUUUGGGUUGAUUUAUAAAUAAUUUAUAGUUAAUGGAUCAUAAUUAUUAUUAAAUUAUUUAUAGAAAUGAGAUGUUAAUCGUUUCCCAAGAUAUCUAGUUUCUUAAGAAAAAAUUUAAUUUUUUGAAGUUAAUUGUUUCUAUUUAAUUUUUUAAGUAUAAAUAUUAACUUAUUUAUUCUUUAGGGGAUAAGCUCUGAAGUUAAUAACCUCUAAUUUGUUUUAAUAAAAUAUAAUAGUAAGCUUUAAACCAGCUAUCUUUAAGAUUACGUUUUAGUUCAUUAUUUUGUAUUUUGAUUCCAUAAUCAUUUUAGGUUUUUUAUUAAGAUUAUUUAUUUAAUUUUAAAAUUUUUGUAAUAAUGAUAGAAUUAGUAUAUUUAUUUGUAGAGAAGUUUUACCUUGUGAAUUUAUUAUAAGGAACUAGGC